rnacentral:rRNA from 1 species
UACGUAGGGACCGAGCGUUGUCCGGAUUCAUUGGGCGUAAAGAGCUCGUAGGCGGCCACUCAAGUCGAAUGUGAAACCUCGAGGCUUAACCUCGAGCCUGCAUUUGAUACUGGGCGGCUAGAGUCUGGUAGGGGGAUCUGGAAUUCCUGGUGUAGCGGUGGAAUGCGCAGAUAUCAGGAAGAACACCCGUGGCGCAAGCGGCCACCUGGCCAAGAGCUGACGCUGAGGCACGAGAGCGUGGGGAGCGAACCGG